rnacentral:lncRNA from 1 species
AUGCAGGUACAUCCUCUUCGGUUAAGUCUUUGCUGAAUCAAUUAUUAACCACCUAAAUGUUUUGAUAACAUCACUUAGGAUAUAGGAAUCUGAAACUAGCGUGCAUAUACAAGAAUAAAAUGUUUGAAAUACUUUAAGUACCAUGUUUCGAAUUUGAUAAAGUUGAAAUAUUUGGUUCUGACUUGCUGAUUAAGACAUAUAUUAUUAACCACUGUGAUGCAGAGUUUUGGCAGUCAAGAAUGGGAUACUGGUUUUGCCAUUCAAGCACUGCUGGCAAGUGAUUUUACUGAUGAAAUAGGGGAGACUCUAAAAAAAGGGCAUGAUUUCAUCAAAAAGUCUCAGGUAAAAAAUUUAACAAAUUAAAACACUACAUUAAGAUAGAAUCUAUGGGUACUUUUAUUGGGAGGAUUGGAUAGAACUAGACGGUAUUAAAGAGGAAAAAGAAACUCGAACUUUGUUUAUUAUUCUAUUAUCCAAUACUAUGUACCGAAGAUAAUUUUUUAGUUGUAUACUUACACUGUAUACUUGCAGGUCAAAGACGAUCCUUCUGGAGACUUCAAGAGCAUGUACCGACAUAUUUCUAAAGGAUCGUGGACAUUUUCAGAUCAAGAUCAUGGAUGGCAAGUAUCUGAUUGCACAGCAGAGGGGUUAAAGGUCUCCAUCUUUAUCUAGAGACUAAGCUCAUUUUAUUUGAGAAUUUUGCAAGAAAAAAAAUAAAAAUAAAAAUUGAAUCUGAAUUCUUAAUAAUAUCUGGUUUACCUUUUUCCAUUUGAAUUCAUCAGUGUUGCCUUCUCUUCUCAAUGAUGCCUCCUGAGAUAGUUGG